rnacentral:snRNA from 1 species
UUAACUUUAAUAAGAAUUUUAAAUCUGUUCUUGUCAGUUUUAAUAUCUGAUAUGCUCUCUAUCUGAGAACUCUAUAUUAAAAGGAUAUUUAGAAGAGGGAGAUAGAAUAGGAGCUUGUUCCAUCCACUCCAUGCAUCAAUCUGGUAUUGCAGUUCUUCCUAGGGGAAAAAAAC